AACAAAUCAGAAAAGUAGAAAUCAUGCAAAAUUAGUUUAAAAAGAAUGAGAGCAUUUAAAAAGGGCUAAAAGAAAAUGGAAGUACCAAAGGAAAUCAUUAUUUACAGAAGAAAUUUUGUAUUUACAUGUAACUCAGUUAUAAUAUAUGAAUAAUUUUCAUAGAUAAGAGAGUUUCUUUGCAACCAAUUUACAAGACCUGAUGGCACGUUAAUAGCAUGUGCAAUAUCUGGAUCAGUUUCGCAAGAAGCACAAGCCAAUUAAAACAGAAGGACAAAGGACAGAAAAAUCAAGUAAAUAAUCAGGUAAAGUAUGGUUCCAAGGGGGUUGUCCCUUCCAAGGUACUCAAAAGUCAAUUAACUAAUGGCAAUUUGUGAGAAUAAAUUGAUUUGAAGAUAAAUGAUAAUGAAGAGAUGAGUUUAUUUGAGCAAAAUCAAUCGCAUCUACAAACAAACAAAGCAAAAGCGAAAUAUUAAAGCAAAUUGUUUGGCUUCAUCAUCUUUAACCUUUAACUUUACCCUACUCUAUCUCUACAAUAUGCUCAAUGCUGCUUUUAUUUUCAUCCCAAAUUCAAAACACCAACCUUUAGCAGACCCUGUUUCCACUUUAUGCAAUGUAUGAGAACCCCCAAAGUUACAAUCCAAAGAAAAAAACAUGUGAAAAGAAA